rnacentral:rRNA from 1 species
AACGAACGCUGGCGGCAUGCCUAACACAUGCAAGUCGAACGAGACCUUCGGGUCUGGUGGCGCACGGGUGCGUAACGCGGGGGAACCUGCCCUUGGGUUUGGAAUAACUCCCCGAAAGAGGUCCUAAUACCGGCGCAUGUCUCCGGACCAAAGUUUUAUCGCCUUUGGAUGGGCCGGCGUUGGAUUAGCUAGUUGUUAGGGUAAAAGCCUACCAAGGGUAGGAUCCGUAGCUGGUUUGAGAGGAUGCGCAGCGACACUGGGACGGAGACACGGCCCAGAAUCCUACGGGAGGCAGCAGUGGAGGAUAUAGGACAAUGGGCGGAAGGCUGAACCAGCAAGGCCGCGUGAGUGAUGAAGGUCGUGGGGUUGUAAAGCUCUUUUACCCGGGAUGAUAAUGACGGUACCGGGAGAAUAAGCACCGGCUAACUCCGUG